AGAGAAGGAGCGUGCAAGUGAGAGGAGCUUCACUUUCUCAUGUGGGUGAAGUGAGAACUACGUCCCUCCUUACUUUUUGUGAAUUUAUUCAAAGUUUCCAUGGCCUGUGAAACAAGGAAAGGAUGACGUUACUAUCAACAUUUGCCAGGGAUCAUUCUGAGUAACAGUUCGGAAGAAGCACAAGUUCAUGACUCAUUCUUUUUUACCCGUGAAAUAUUGUACAAGUUGAUGACUUGGUGCAGAUGAAGGCUAAUACACACCUCCACAGGUGAGACGUGAACAGCCAAUUUAAUGAAUUAUUCUAAUUAGUUCAGGUUCUGUGGACUCGGCUGUAUAGCUGGACUGCAUGCUUAAUAUAAUCUAGCAAAGCAGUGAAAGCCAAAAUUCAAGUCCAACAUCCCUUUUAUUGAAAUCUGUCCUUGGUCCCAACUUAAAUACCAAGAGAUGAUUCCUGUCUGAAGCUGGCUACUUCUGUAAGUUCCUCUUAGGCUGUGGAUAUUUACAGAACCUUUUCUUUCUUUGAACACCUGUGUCCUAGAAAGACACAAAAAAAACCCACCCUACGUUUUCCAGAUACAUAUUUUUUCCUUCCCCCCCCCCCCCCAUUCCCCAUUGCCAACACUUACGCCAAGAAGACCCCCAGCAGCAUGGGCAGUGGACUCCACUGGAGGGAGCUUGAGGAUGAGUUGGCACCCACCUUACCACAGCAGCAUCCCUCUCUGGGGUACAGCUGUCAGAACAAGUCUUUCUCUCCAACACCUAUUCUUCCCUUGGUAAUUUAGUUAUUGCACAUACAUAGAAGACAAAAUCUGAAAACCAACUAGCCAAUGAACAUGCUGGGUCUGGUCUGGUGGUUGGCAACCCUGUCCACAGCAGGCGGGUUGAAACCAGAUGAUCUUUGAGGUCCUUUUCAAGCCAGACCUUUUUAUGAUUCCAUGAUUCUGUGAAAUAGUAAUGAAUAAGUACAGAAAGUCUUCCCAGAAUUCUUCUUGGCCAUAUCUCCCAUUUCUUUGACACUUAAACUUUCUUGAUGCCUCAUGAAUCACAGCCCUGACUCCUGUUGUUAUUCUUUUGAAGCACCUUGGUGUUGCAUGUCUGAGGUCCAGCAUUUGCCGUGGGAUGAGAUGAGAGCCAUGGCAUACAGAUGAGUUAAGAGGUUCUUGGUUGGCAUCUUCCCUCAAGACGGUACCUCUCUUAUUUUUUUAGCUAUAAAAUCUUUUGGUUGCAAAGCAGAAGCUGCAGCUUCCCGGUGAUCAUUGCAGUCAUUUUUUCUAGGUGCCCAGGGGUGAUGCUCUUAUACUCAAAGUGAAAUGGCUGUUGACGGUUUUUUCUCUAUGCAUCCCCUGUUCGUCAUCAGUGUGACGUCUGAGUAUGGCUGCCACCCUGCAUGAGCUCGGAGGGAUUUCAGCCUAUUUCAGUAAAGUUCUUGUCUCCUUCUCUGCACACCCCAGAAGCUGGAAAACUGCAGAUCCAGCUUCUUUGGAGAAAGCAUGCAACAACAAGAAGCAGAGUGUUGCAUACUAAGGUUCUGUAAUUUCUGCAAAUUGGCUUUACGGGUCACUAAACAGUGAUAGAAGAUUUGUGUGCUAGGACCCACCUGAAACAGAAAUGCUUUGUGGAUGCAUCUGCUUUCUGGCUUUGAGUAUCGUGGUGGAGUUGUGGCCUCCUCUUCUCUGAAGAAAAAGAAGACGACUGCAUUUGUUUACGUAUGUGCAUUCAUCAUUUGUAAGAAACCCAGAUGUUAAAACACUUGCACAUCCCUGCAUAAAUAAAUAACAAAUAAGGGCACGGUUUCUGAAUUUAGGAUGCCUUUUUAGUGCACAUUCUCAAAGGAUUUCUCUUUUCCGAGUAUAAAGCACUGUUUCUUUUGAAAAAAAGAAAAUCAACACGCACCAUAAAUGACAACUUGUUAUAGAUGUAAAUAUUAAUUAUACAUUGAAAUUCUGGAACUGUUUUUACUAGAAGCUUGUUAACUUGUUAAUUAUCAUAAUUAUCAUACAAGGGGAAAGGGAAAAGAGGGAGAGAGAGACUGAUUAGUGUUGGUAAUUUGCCUCAUCCUUUCUGUGUUGUUGCUUUUUUUUUUUUUUUUUUCAUUUUGGGAAAAUUAAUUCUGUGAAAUUAUCACUAGGGUGCUGUGCUCCGGGACACGUCUGUACGAUGCGGCAUUGUUCUGGCAGAAUGCAGACUUAAUUCAUGCUUGGCACCUUUCCUGUCUAUCCCUUCCUUGCCACGUUCGGGUCUGCCACGCUUGGGCAACACCAUAUCAUUCUCUCAUAACAAUAACAAUGAAAAAGUAAAGGCGGGGAUAGAUAUGCAGAGCUCCUGAAACCUCAGGCAAAUAUAAGCAGGAGAAUAAAAGAAAAUGGCGGUGUUUUAGUUACAGUUGAAUAGGGGGAAAUUACCCAUAGGAGAUAUAAGGCUGUUGGUUGAUACCACAAGGAACCUGACAUCCUUAAUAUUUAGGAGCAUCCUUAGAGAAAAAUUCCACCUCUUGCUAUCCUUAAUGUACUCUUUUUAUCUCUGUUGGCACCCGUAUGUGUUGGAAGGCCCUGGUUCCUGAGAGAGGAGCACAAAAAUAAUAGACCCACCAUAACAUCUGCUCAUUGAAAUGCUCUUAUCAACUCUGAGAUAGGAAACAAAAGAUGAGUUUAAAUGUCUAUAGCUCAUCAUGGCAAAAAUUUGCUUUUGGGUUAUUUAAAAUUUCAUCCUACCUCAUGGGUUGCUCAGGAUAUUCAGUUGAGAUAUGGAAAAGGUGGCUGUGAACCCACCACACCCACAGGGAUAUAGAAUUAGUCACAUUCUGAAAAGGCUGUGAGAAACUUCAGAGGCACCUAAUCCAACUAGAUGAAUGGGUGACACGGUGUCACACAAAGUUCAGCUCUGCUCAGACAAAGUGUUGCACGCUGAAGGAGAGAAAAAUUGGAUGUGCUCGUAUGGCUCACAAGGCUCUCAAUUACAUGUGGGGGCUUGGGAAAGGCAGCUGAGUUUCACUGUGGAUGGCUCAAUGAUCAUUUGGAUGUAGAGCACAGCUCUAAUUUAUUGGUCAGGCAAGGUGUUAGACUGCACAAGGAAUAGGAUAGAGAAUAAUGCAUGAAACACAAGCAAUUAAUAAUGUAAGUCAAUGAUGCAUUCGCAUUUGGAAUAACAUACACAGAACCGGUCACCCAAUACUCCCAAUUUUUACAAGAAGAUGGCACUAAAGCAAGACAGAGUUCUGAGAGAGGUGACAGGAAUGGAAAAGAAUAUGUUAAAUGUCCCAUGUGAGAAGAGACUGACAAGACCAGACAAUUUACCUUUAAAAAUGGCAAAAAUGUGUUAAUAAGGUAUGAAUAUUUGAAUAUUUGUUGUGAUAUAAAGAUAGCAAAUAGAAAGCCUAUUUGACUGGUGUUACAAUUCAGGGUGAAAGUGGAGUAACUAACGUGAAAAAGUAGCUAUUUCAGAGCUGAUGAGAAAAAGGAAGCACUUAGCACACAUAUCAUUGGCCUUGCUGCCACCAGACAUUGGUUCCUUAGCAUGUAGCUGCAAAUAGCAUGGCACAGCAGGAGCAGGCUCACAGAGCAAAUGGCUGGAGCUGAGGACCCUCUAUCCACACUACACGAGUCCAGAGGCUGGGCUGGACCUACUCUGAUCCCAUCAGCAGCAAAAUUCCACACCAAGAGCUGAACUGUAGCACAUGGGGACUGUGGGCAGAAGUGCUUCAAAAGCACAGCUCAGAUCUAAACUGAAAGGCUCAUGUAGGUUUACUGUUUGAGCCUGAGAAUGUACUAAGAGUCAGUGUGGGGCUUGACAUUUGUACUGUGUAACAAGAAUAAACAGAAUUACAUUAA